rnacentral:rRNA from 1 species
CCUACGGGCGACAGCAGUGAGGAAUAUUGGUCAAUGGGCUUACGCCUGAACCAGCCAAGUCGCGUGAGGGAAGACUGCCCUAUGGGUUGUAAACCCCUUUUGUCAGGGAGCAACGCCGGCUACGUGUACCCGGACUGAUUGUCCCUGCAGAAAAAGCAUCGGCAAACUCCGUGCCAGCAGCCGCGCUAAUACGGAGGAUGCGAGCGUUCUCCGGAUGUAUUGGGUUAAAGGGGUGCGUAGGCGGACUGCCAAGUAAGCGGUAAAAUCGCGGGGCUCAACCUCGCUCCGCCGUUGAAACUGGCGUUCUUGAGUGGGCGAGAGGUAUGCGGAAUGCGUGGUGUAGCAGUGAAAUGCAUAGAUAUCGCGCAGAACUCCGGUUGCGAAGGCAGCAUACCGGCGCACAACUGACGCUGAAGCACGAAAGCGUGGGUAUCGAACAGGAUUAGAUACCCCGGUAGUC